rnacentral:tRNA from 1 species
AGUUAAUGAACUUGUUAAGUAUAUGUUUUGAAAACAUAAUAAAGAGUUAAACCCUCUAUUAACUU